rnacentral:lncRNA from 1 species
UUUUUCCAAACGAGCAUAACUUGAAUACUCUAUCGGAAUAUACGUGGAAUCAGUUUAGGAUAUUUCUUGAUCUUCCCUCCACGUCGAAGGCGAAGGAAAGUUGUUUUUUUUUUUUUAUUAUUUUAUUUUUGAAAUACCUCCCCCGAUUUCUCAUGUAUAUAUACACAUGCGUGUAUAUAUUAUAUUACUUAUAUGCAUAUAUAUUUUAUAUUUAUAUUAUACAUCAUAUGCUGUAUGUAUAUAUAUACUUGUACAUAUUUACAAAUUUGCUUAUUGCGAAAAGAAAACUUGGUCGCGUAUUUACAAACAGCCAAUCGUUCGUGUAUAUAUUUAUACACACCUACCUACUUGUGUAUAUACAGAUUAUAUAUACGGCGAAAUAUUGCAGAAAGUCUUUCAAGUACAUCAAACACUCCCUGAAUAUCGAAAAACAACAAAUUUGCGGAAACCAUAUCUUAUACAGCAAAAAACUUUUAAACAAUUUCACCAAAAGUGUAUAUACUUAUAUAUUAUAUAUACAUAUAUUAUACAGAUAUAUUACAUAUAUAGCACGCACUCACACACACACGUACAUACAUAUACAGCAAGCAUAUAUAUAUAUAUAAAGAUAAAUAUAUAAAUAUAGAUAUAAAUCUAUAUAAAAAUCACUCGAUAUUAUGUCCGCCGGGUGGUGUAUGGGGGCAGCGGUGAACAUCUUGUUAGGUCUCUGUUGUAUCGUUUUCCGGGGCGAUUCAAUUAGCGACACAAUUAUCCGGGGAAAUACAAAAUUCCACACGAUGCAGACUUCGCCUUCGGAAAACAAAACCGUUAUCUAUUUCAGUUACAUGGCAGCAUCGGAAUCGCAGGAAUAUCAAAGGGAAAAACAGGCUAGGUUAAUAUCUGGUGCUUUGUCGUAUGCCGUGUCCAAAAUCAACAAUGACACCAACCUGUUACCAAAUCACACGCUGGCAUUUAAAUGGAGUGACACACUAUCGGACGAGUUGGAAGUUCUUAGGCAAAUGUGCCAUUCUUGGACUGAUGAAGUUUAUGCAUUCUUUGGACCCGAAACUUACUGUGGAGUUGCUGCCAGGUUGGCAGCUGCCUGGAAUAAACCUAUGAUAUCGUAUGUAAGUAGAAAACCUUCAACUUUUA